rnacentral:rRNA from 1 species
UGAGCAAUCUGCCCUUCUCAUCGGAAUAAGCGUUGGAAACGACGUCUAAUGCCGAAUACGACCUCCUUUCGCAUGAUCGGAGGUGGAAAGCUCCGGCGGAGAAGGAUGAGCUCGCGGCCUAUCAGCUAGUUGGUGUGGGCAAUGGCCCACCAAGGCAACGACGGGUAGCCGGCCUGAGAGGGUAACCGGCCACACUGGGACUGAGACACGGCCCAGACUCCUACGGGAGCAG